AUGGAGCGAUGGAUCAUCAUCAUAUUGUUGAUUUUUGCACUCAUUACCACGUGUGAGGGUACGUAUGACUUGUGGAAUUAUCAAUGGUUUACUGAAUCCAAAGUCGGAUGUUCUCGUUCAUUGUAAAUCCAAAAAUGACGAUCUUGGCGUUCACCAACUCCAGUACAAUGCUAGCUUUGAGUUUCAUUUCUCGCCCAACUUUUGGGGAACUACACAAUUCUACUGCAGCUUUGUGUGGCCAUCCCGAAUUGAAUGGGUCGACGUUUACAAACACAAGAGGGAUGCAUUUGAUUUAUGUUUGUGGAUGGUCAAGCAUGAUGGUCCAUGUAGGUUCGAUCAUGGCCACCAGAGCUUUGAUGAUUGCUUUAAAUGGAACAACAGAAUUUGA
rnacentral:lncRNA from 1 species